UCUCCGUUGGUGAACCAGCGGAGGGAUCAUUACAGGACUCGCAAGACUCCUACAACCCUGUGAAUUUAACUAUAAGCACGUUGCUUCGGCGGGUGUCUCGGAGGGGGUUCUCCCUCCCCGAGACGCUAAACCCGCCGGCAGACUACUAUACUCUUUCUCUUUGCGUUGGCAUCGCGAGUACAAUCAAACAAGUUAAAACUUUCAACAACGGAUCUCUUGGUUCUG
rnacentral:misc_RNA from 1 species